GCCUGGGUGGCUCAGUUGGUUGAGCAUCUGACUUUAGCUCAGGUCAUGAUCUCGCAGUUCAUGAGUUCGAGCCCCACCUCGGGCU
rnacentral:tRNA from 1 species